UGAGUGUACAGAGAAGGAAAGGGAGGGAA
rnacentral:piRNA from 1 species